UCGCUUCAGCAGCGAAUGUACUAAAAUAGAAACGAUACAGAGGUUAGCACAGGUCCUGUGCAAGGAUGUUGUGCAAAUUCGUGAAGGGUUCCAGAUUUUU
rnacentral:snRNA from 1 species